UACAGAGGUCCCAAGCGUUGUUCGGAUUCAUUGGGCGUAAAGGGUGCGUAGGCGGCGCGGUAAGUCGGGUGUGAAAUCUCGGAGCUUAACUCCGAAACUGCAUUCGAUACUGCCGUGCUUGAGGACUGGAGAGGAGGCUGGAAUUUACGGUGUAGCGGUGAAAUGCGUAGAUAUCGUAAGGAAGACCAGUGGCGAAGGCGGGUCUCUGGAACGCAACUGACGCUGAGACGCGAAAGCGUGGGGAGCAAACAGG
rnacentral:rRNA from 1 species